GAAGAAGUUUGGCAUAGGAUCAGGUUGUCAGGUCAACAGGCAUUUGUUAAGCUCCUUCAAUGUGUUAAGUGCUGGGAAUGAACAGAAAAGAAGAGGAGAAGUGAAGAGAGGGGAAGGGAAGGGGAAGGAGAAAAGGUACAGGAAAGGAGGAGAGGGAUGGAGAGAGGAGGGGAGGGGAGAGGAGAGAAGAGAAGAAAAGAUAAUUUUGGAAUGGAAAGGAGGCAUUGCCUACAUACAUCCAACAAGCAAGAGACUACAGAGAGUUGCUACUAUGCAAACAGAAGAAUUUCAGGCAAGAAUUAAUAUGUGUCAAAAUCCAAGAGUAGUAAUUAAUAAAAUCCAAAUAUCUAUUUGUGUAAGGAGUAUAAAUGCUUAA
rnacentral:lncRNA from 1 species